GGUAGCAGGCGACCGGCUGUCGGUGCCAAAACUGCGAGCGAAGCGAGCCAAGUCCAUGAGAACGAAAGUUCGAAUGGUCUGAUGCACUCGCCGCGCAUUUGCGGCGCUGAGGAAAGUCCGUCCACCCAUGUAACACUCCGUUGCAAACCGUAUGGUUUGCGCGGCCCUGCGGAACCUAAAAAUUCUGCAGGGAAACAUCGAGAGAUGGUCUGGGGGAACAGAAACGAUACCAUCUGCAAUUGCAGGCCCAUCCUUCAAUAGGGCGAGCGCGCAUUUGCUGCAGUUGCAGGCCAAUUCCGGCCUGCCAAUUCCAUGAGAACGGGAGUUCGAAUGGAAUGAUGCUGCCGCCGCGCAUUUGCGGCGAUGGAUGAAACGCGCCCCCAGUGGUGCAACUCCCUUGCGGAGGCUUAGUCGAAUGCCGGCAAGGCCAUGUUCCUAAAAAGAACAGAAACCCUUUUCGUUAAUGGGUUUUGAAGGCUGAACAGAAGACGGCUUAUGUCCUGCUGCC
rnacentral:RNase_P_RNA from 1 species